rnacentral:rRNA from 1 species
ACGGAGGGUGCAAGCGUUAUCCGGAUUUAUUGGGUUUAAAGGGUGCGUAGGCGGUUAGAUAAGUCAGUGGUGAAAUCCUGCAGCUCAACUGUAGAACAGCCAUUGAAACUGUCUGACUUGAGUGAUCUUGAGGUAGGCGGAAUGUGUAGUGUAGCGGUGAAAUGCUUAGAUAUUACACAGAACACCGAUUGCGAAGGCAGCUUACCAAGGGUUUACUGACGCUGAUGCACGAAAGCGUGGGGAUCAAACAGGAUUAGAUACCCUGGUAGUCCACGCCGUAAACGAUGAUAACUCGCUGUUGGCGAUACACAGUCAGCGGCUUAGCGAAAGCGUUAAGUUAUCCACCUGGGGAGUACGCUCGCAAGAGUG